rnacentral:lncRNA from 1 species
AACCGACACCGUUUUCGUUGAGAUUGUUAUACAUUGCUCAUGGCGAGCGCGAGGCCAUUAUCGCUUUCUGUGUCUGCGCUCCGAGUCUACAAGAGCAAAUGAACUAACUCCUCGCAGUAGUUCAGUAAUAAAACUUGGUAAUGGCGUCUUUAGUCUCCGUAAGCUUCUUUACGCCUCCGUUUUCACGAGUCCUUCUCGAGGUAAGCUUCGAAACCCUAGCUUAUGUUCUAUAGUUUACGUACCAACCAUCUUCGCGACAGUACGUUUUGUUUCACGAGAAAAUGUUGAAGGAGAAAAUAUUUGGACCUUGUUGAAUGGUAUUAGUUUGAGUUGUUUUGGUAGUACGAGUGGUUAGCCUACUGAGUACCUGCUUCUUGUCGAGUGGAACCGAGUGGGCAGAAUAACUGUAUUAGUAAUUGAAUUCAGGGGAAUAACUGCGAAAUCUGUUUCGAUUUAAAGUUGCAGAAGAGAAUCUGUAUUAUGUUACAGAGUAUUCUACGUGUUCGUAUAUGGAUAUUUCUCAACUGGUUGUAAAUUUCGUUUUCUUUUUUGGAGGUUCUCCUGUAGAAGUUAUAAAUAAGAAAUAGGAAACAAACAAAUGAUAAUGUUGGUAUUUUAAUGAGAUGGAUCCUCUUUCUAUGGUAUUCAAAAUUAUAAUGGAAGGGUAUCAACUGUGCCUACUGCUAGAGGAUAACAAGAGCUUGGGAUUUGGAGCUGGAGGGAUUUGAUGCUUGCACUUUUUGUGGGUUUUAUCUGGAUUUAAAGGCGACAAACUGUAUUGAUUGCAUUCAUUUGUUGCCUUAGUACUCUCUGUCCCCAUAUCUAUUGAGUGGUGGAAUGAGGACAUCCAUUUUCUCAAGGUGGGAUUAAGAAUUUUCUACCACGUUCCACAUUUAUGGAUUUAACAACUGCAGCCCACAAUACAGAAAAAAUAGUUAGACCACAUUGUUCGGGCAGUAGAUUACUCUUUUGGUAAGGCGACAACUAUCAACAUAAUGUAAUUGAACAAGGCAUGUAACAAAACUGGUUUCCUUUGCCCCAUGAUUUUAGUACAUUGGUAUUUUUUUCUUUAUGUCUUUCUGAUGAGAGGUGGCAACAUAGCUUAGGAUUUGCUCAAACUUUAUGAAUUGAUUUUUGUAUGACAGCAAGAUGUAUACUUCUGGCAACCCAUCCCGAGCUCUUGUUGAGCUACAGUACACUCAUUUGUUAUUGAUGUAGGAUAUAUUAGGGUUGUCUACUUAUUAAUUUGGAGAUAAGAAUGUGGACAUCAAACAUCACACUCAAAAAGUCUUAAGGAUCAUAUUUAAGAGUUUGAUUGUAUUGAAUAAUCAAACUUUGUCUUGAAAAGUGAAAACUAAUGCUAAUAACUUUGACUUAAUAAUGUUUAUAAUAUUUUCUAAGUAGACUUUCCGAAACAGAAUUAGAUCAAGAUAUAAGCUUAAAAGGAGGGGGAUGAUUCUGGUCAACUGGUGUUGCUUAUGCAAAAGUGACGAGGAGACUUGCAAUCAUAUUCUACUUGGGUGUCCCGUGGUAUAUAGUUUAUGAUUAAUGGCUUUUGGAAUUAUUGGUUAUCAAUGCAUGACGGGUGGUAUUGUUAGGGAUGAAUUAUGGGUGUGGAAAGGUUUGGCUGGGAGGGAUAAGCAGCUGGGGCUGAUUCCCUUUGCCAUUUUUUGGGUCAUCUGGAAGAAAAUAAAUAGAAGAGGUUUUGUUGGAGUGGAGGAGAGCAUAGAUAAAAUCAGAGAGAGAUGGUUUCAAAUCCUUGGUAUUUUGAUUAUGGGUCAACCCGUGUUGUUUAUGGAAUUCUUUGCAUAAUUAAUUGAUGUACUUAAUUUUAUGCAUGGGCGAUACUCCCUUAGUGUCCAUACUUAAUGAUAAUGCUACACUUUUUAUUUUUUAAAAAAGAAGAAUUAGAUCAAGAAAUACAAACACUAAUAGGGUUAGAAAAUAAUACUAUUGAUUUAAAUAAGGAAAUUAAAUAUUAAAAGAAUAAAAUAAUAAAGCUACUAAGACUAAUAAGCUCCUCCUAAAUAAUACAAUAGUUUUAUAUCUAAUAGAAUUAUAAUUUCUAAUUUAUUUAGGUGAUUUAGAAUUAACUCAUUCUGCAUCAUUCUUUCCUAGUCAGAAAAAAAACUCAUCAAUCAGUUUUGAAGUAGUGAAUAAUGCAAAACUUAGAUCUUUGAAGUUCCUGAUAAAAAUUUAACAAACUAUGUGCUCGGUCAUUCUCUUUGAUAACAAUAAUGAAGGAGAGAUGGACAAACAAUUUGUUAGGGGUGCUAAAUCCUUGCAGUAGGAUGAACUCAACAAAACAAAAUAUUUUCCCUUCAACUUUAUCCUUGAGCUGAACAUUACUAGUUCUAAUUAUUGGCCUAAGCUUCUCCUUGCAUUGUACUUCUAUAUAACUCUUUAAGUAGUCAAAUGUUUUGAGUAAUCUCAAAAUUUAAUUCUUAGGAAGACAUGACAGUUCUUGCUGCUCAUCAAUUUCGACAUGUUUAUUCUCUUCUUCUUUUUCAUUGACUAGAUGCACUUUUGGACGUUUAUAUUUACUCGUCUCCUUUGCAGUCAUAGGUUCUAUAACUACAUUCUUUAUGCUAAGCAUAAAAUGAUAAGAAUUGGUAGUCUUUUCCUGCUGAAUGAAGAUACUUAUAAUGUUUCUUAAGUAACCAUUCUCACAUGUAAAUACUAAUAAUAACUGAAUUAGGAAAUAAUACUACUGAUACAAAUAAGGAACUAACUCAAGUAAAAAAAUUAAAUCCUAAAGUUUCUAAGAGUAUAAAAAUAAUGAUGUGGCAUAAAGAGAAUUUGAACACAAUACUUAGAAAAAAUUUAUUAAGAGUCAAAAUUGGAGAUUAAUUCACUAGCUCGAUAUUUGCAUAAUAAUCAUAUAAAUGGUCUACCAAAUGACUAAAUUAUGGUACCCUAUAGGCACAAAAAUACGACCAACGUAGGAAAUUUUUAGUCUGUAAGGAUUCCGCUAAAUAGAAAAUAGCUAGUUAAUUAAAUGUCAUGAUAAAAGAAACUAGAAAGGAAAUUAAAUAUUCCUGUUCCUUUUAAUGUAAAACUUCCCAGAAUACAUUUAUCUUUAUUGGUUCUGCAUGAAAUAGACUCCUGAAUAGUCUAAUAGUUUUAUAUGUAAUAGAAUAAUAUUUUCUAAUCUAUUUAAGCAAUCUAGACUUAACUCCUGCAUGACUUGUACUAUGCUGUUUAAUUUUAUGUUGCAAGACCCUUAAUCAUUAUUAAUUGAAAAAAUUAUUAAUUUGAUCACUCUGUAAUAGUUCUGCUUUCAGAUAAUUGCUUAUGUGUCUUUGAAUUUGGAAGCUUCAUGGUUGUUGGGACAUUUUUGUAGGAAAAUGAUCCAAAGAAAGCAGCAUUGAGCAGACUUUCUAGCCAAGCAACUGGUAGAAGAGGUUCUCUUCUUUGAGUUUCUUGUUUUUUCUACGGCAUUUGUUAAACCCUGAAGCAUGACGAUUGAUCAUUAUGUAAAAUAUAGUGUGUGAGCCAUGUCCCAUUAGCCUACAUGGUGCAUGAACUUACUGCUACUAAAUUCUUGGUCUUAUGUUCCUGGUUAACCUAGAUUUUAAAGAAUUCUACAGUGGUCCUUCUGGACUCAGGUCAUGUUUAGUUGGAUAACCAAACUUCUUUUCAAGAUUUUGGGUUCCAAUUAAUCAUCGGGUUGAGAUUUUUUUCUUCUCCCUGAAUUUUCCAGCAGGAUGUAUUGGAGGGGUAGCAAAAUUGAUCNNNNNNNNNNNNNNNNNNNNNNNNNNNNNNNNNNNNNNNNNNNNNNNNNNNNNNNNNNNNNNNNNNNNNNNNNNNNNNNNNNNNNNNNNNNNNNNNNNNNNNNNNNNUCCUAUAAAUCAGAGUUAUAAUCACUAUUUAACUUCACCAUCGAAGCAUUUUGCUGAAACUGUUUCUUUUCAUUUGGAGACUCAUAUGAUAAUGACUGGCUACUGGAUAGGACCAGAUAUUGAUGACGGUUGGGGACUAAUAGAUGCUUUUGUUGAUCGGGGAAUUUGAUUUUUUUUUUCAGCUUGAUGAAUGAUUUUCAAAUUUUGAUUGCAUAGUCUUGUAGAUUAAUGUUGAAUGUAGAACUCGAGUAAGUGAUGGAUAAUUUAGCACAAGGCAUAAAAGAAUUUCCAAAUUGUACCAUUUUUUUCAUUUUGAGACAUUGUACGGUAAGAAAGUUUGUAGCCUUUUUCAACAUGAAUGAAGAACCAUUGCAAACACAUCGAAUGCCAAAUUGUUUAUAAAUUUGUUGGACAUUCUUUCAUGUCUUAGUCCCCUAUCCCUUCCUAAGCUUAUAUUGUUUAUUUCAUUGGUGCAUCUUCACUCUCCCCAAUGUAAUAUGAUAGAUUUCUGAAGGUCUCAUUCCUGAGGCAUAUAACUAAAAAACGGGAAGAUAACUUCUAUGCUCUCUGAUUCAAUCUUGGAAGGCUGUUAGUAAUCAAGACUGGGACUAGGGUGUGCAUUCACGAAACAAUUAGAUUGAGCUCUCCAAAACUC